CGCGCGAGUCAGAGGGUGUCCACGAGCCCCCACGGCGCAAUGAAGGUGAAGCGCNNNNANNGGCCGGGUGGGAUCCCUCCGGAGGGGGGNCGCACCACCGGCCCGUCUCACGGUCCGCCGGGGAGUGGAGCGAGAGCGCGUGCUGUACCCGAAAGAUGUGAACUAUGCCUGGGCAGGCGAAGCCAGAGGAAACUCUGGUGGAGGCCCGCAGCGGUCCUGACGUGCAAACUUGUCCACCUGGUAUAGGGCGAAAGACUAAUCGAACCAUCUAGUAGCUGGUU
rnacentral:rRNA from 1 species